GACAGAGGGUGCAAACGUUGUUCGGAAUUACUGGGCGUAAAGCGCAUGUAGGCGGCCUGGCAGGUCGGAUGUGAAAUCCCUCGGCUCAACCAAGGAAGUGCAUUCGAAACCGCAAGGCUCGAGUCCCGGAGAGGAUGGUGGAAUUCUCGGUGUAGAGGUGAAAUUCGUAGAUAUCGAGAGGAACACCGGCGGCGAAGGCGGCCAUCUGGACGAGGACUGACGCUGAGAUGCGAAAGCGUGGGGAGCAAACAGG
rnacentral:rRNA from 1 species